GGUUCAUCAAGUCUUCAAAAAAGAAUAUAUACGAUUCGAUUCGAUAUACUAACGGAUGCGAUCAUGCCAGCACUAAUGCACCGGAUCCCAUCAGAACUCCGCAGUCAAGCGUGCUUGGGCGAGAGUAGUACUAGGAUGGGUGACCUCCCGGGAAGUCCUCGUGUUGCAUCCCUCUUUUAUGUUUAACCUUUUUUUUUUUGGUU
rnacentral:rRNA from 1 species